rnacentral:rRNA from 1 species
UACGUAGGGUGCAAGCGUUAAUCGGAAUUACUGGGCGUAAAGCGUGCGCAGACGGUUAUGCAAGACAGAUGUGAAAUCCCCGGGCUCAACCUGGGAACUGCAUUUGUGACUGCAUAGCUAGAGUGCGGCAGAGGGAGAUGGAAUUCCGCGUGUAGCAGUGAAAUGCGUAGAUAUGCGGAGGAACACCGAUGGCGAAGGCAAUCUCCUGGGCCUGCACUGACGCUCAUGCACGAAAGCGUGGGGAGCAAACAGG